CACGGCGCACGGGUGCGUAACACGUGGGCAAUCUGCCCUCCGAUGGGGAAUAACUCCGGGAAACCGAAGCUAAUUCCGCAUAACAUUCCCUGGACUCCGGUUCGGGGAUUCAAAGCAGCAAUGCGUCGGAGGAGGAGCCCGCGCCCGAUUAGCUAGUUGGUGAGGUAACGGCUCACCAAGGCUAUGAUCGGUAGCUGGUCUGAGAGGACGGCCAGCCACACUGGAACUGAGACACGGUCCAGACUCCUACGGGAGGCAGCAGUGGGGAAUCUUGCGCAAUGGGCGAAAGCCUGACGCAGCGACGCCGCGUGGGGGAUGAAGCUUCUCGGAGUGUAAACCCCUUUCGACCGGGACGAAUGCCCGCAAGGGAGUGACGGUACCGGUAGAAGAAGCCCCGGCUAACUACGUGCCAGCAGCCGCGGUAAGACGUAGGGGGCCAGCGUUGUUCGGAAUUACUGGGUGUAAAGGGUUCGUAGGCGGUGUGGCAAGUCGGGAGUGAAAUUUCUGGGCUUAACCCAGAGGCUGCUUCCGAAGCUGCUGUGCUCGAGUGUGGGAGAGGCGCGUGGAAUUGCAGGUGUAGCGGUGAAAUGCGUAGAUAUCUGCAGGAACACCCGUGGCGAAAGCGGCGCGCUGGACCACUACUGACGCUGAGGAACGAAAGCUAGGGGAGCAAACAGGAUUAGAUACCCUGGUAGUCCUAGCCCUAAACGAUCAGGACUUGGGGUGUCGCCCGUUCGGGCGUCGUCCCGGAGCUAACGCGUUAAGUCCUGCACCUGGGGAGUACGGUCGCAAGACUGAAACUCAAAGGAAUUGACGGGGGCCCGCACAAGCGGUGGAACAUGUGGUUCAAUUCGA
rnacentral:rRNA from 1 species